rnacentral:rRNA from 1 species
AGCGAACGCUGGCGGCAGGCUUAACACAUGCAAGUCGAGCGGGCCCUUCGGGGUCAGCGGCAGACGGGUGAGUAACACGUGGGAACGUACCCUUUGGUUCGGAAUAACGCUGGGAAACUAGCGCUAAUACCGGAUACCCCCUUUUGGGGAAAGGCUUGCUGCCGAAGGAUCGGCCCGCGUCUGAUUAGCUAGUUGGUGGGGUAAUGGCCUACCAAGGCGACGAUCAGUAGCUGGUCUGAGAGGAUGAUCAGCCACACUGGGACUGAGACACGGCCCAGACUCCUACGGGAGGCAGCAGUGGGGAAUAUUGGACAAUGGGCGCAAGCCUGAUCCAGCCAUGCCGCGUGAGUGAUGAAGGCCUUAGGGUUGUAAAGCUCUUUUGUCCGGGACGAUAAUGACGGUACCGGAAGAAUAAGCCCCGGCUAACUUCGUG